GACGAACGCUGGCGGCGUGCCUAAUACAUGCAAGUUGAGCGCUGAAGGUUGGUACUUGUACCAACUGGAUGAGCAGCGAACGGGUGAGUAACGCGUGGGGAAUCUGCCUUUGAGCGGGGGACAACAUUUGGAAACGAAUGCUAAUACCGCAUAAAACCUUUAAACACAAGUUUUAAGUUUGAAAGAUGCAAUUGCAUCACUCAAAGAUGAUCCCGCGUUGUAUUAGCUAGUUGGUGAGGUAAAGGCUCACCAAGGCGAUGAUACAUAGCAGACCUGAGAGGGUUAUCGGGCAGAUUGGGACUGAGACACGGCCCAAACUCCUACGGGAGGCAGCAGUAGGGAAUCUUCGGCAAUGGACGAAAGUCUGACCGAGCAACGCCGCGUGAGUGAAGAAGGUUUUCGGAUCGUAAAACUCUGUUGGUAGAGAAGAACGUUGGUGAGAGUGGAAAGCUCAUCAAGUGACGGUAACUACCCAGAAAGGGACGGCUAACUACGUGCCAGCCGCCGCGGUAA
rnacentral:rRNA from 1 species